UCUGGGUUUUACUCAGCCUUUACUCCAGGUUUGCUCAACCUCUACUCAGGUUUUACUCACCCUCUAUUCCAGGUUUUAACACACUUUACUCUGGGUUUUACUCCCCCUUUACUCCAGGUUUACUCACCCUUAACUCCAGGUUUACUCAGCCUUUACUCUGGGUUUAGGCACACCUCACUCCAGGUUUUACUCAGCCUGUACUUCAGGUUUACUCAACCUUUACUCAGCUUUUACACACCCUUUAUUCCAGGUUUACACACACUUUACUCUGGGUUUACUCACAUCUCACUCCGGAUUUUACUCACACUUUACUCCGGGUUUUACUCACCCUUUACUCCAGGUUUACUCCACCUUCACUCAGGUUUUACUCACCCUUUAUUCCAGGUUUACACACACUGUACUC
ensembl:lncRNA